AAGUAAAGCGCAUGUCAGUGAAUAAUUUCGCAGUGAAGGUAGAGGUGGGGCUGGGCUGGUACACUGUAGUUGACACUGCUGGCCCUCUAUCGUCCCCUAGCCAGCACUUGCAGGCGUCUCUCGACACACAUAGACCGACUCAUAUAUGGUAUAGGGGAAAUCUCACUCUGAUUAUGGAAGAAGUUAUCUGAAGGGUGAGUCGGCCCUGGAAAAAGAAAUCAGCACUAAGUCAGCGAGCGUCCUUGACUGCUAAUAGCGUCACUUAACUAGUUGACCGUAAGUAUAUAUCACAGUCGUACUACAGGUGCACCCGUCCUUUCGCGUUGCCACAACGGACUUUAAAUAAGGUACUAAAAUGCGCAGACCUAACUUAACCGCCCCCUCUCCCCCUAUCGACCCACACGUGUAAAAUUAACCCAUUCACCCGAAGUGACACUACUUGUAAUUAUUUGGGGGAAAAUUCCAACGUGCAAUAAUGAACCAUCAGUAAACACCGUUGUACUGUUAAUGUUACAGUCCUGACAAAAAUAAAGCUAAAAACCAAACUUAAAUAUGCUUAGUAUACCACCUGUGUGCACUACAUAUUAGGCCUAGGAAUGCUAGGAGAGGUCCUCAAGUGACCAUUCUGGUGCUCCAUCACUACAUACUUUAUGUGCUUUCGUUUUAGGAGGCUGGGCUGUAGACAGCGUGGUUAUUCCUGAGCCAACCUAUCCUCUCGAAUAUUACAUGGCAUUUUGACGUCAAAAUCCCCAGCGGACAAAAUAUGAUAUGCUAAAGAUAAGAGCGGCUGGCAAACAUUCACGUUUUCUAUGAGUGGGUGGGUGAGUUAGGCUAGGCUCGGGUGCUUGUGUCCCAUGUACUGUUUGUUCUGUUCGUCGCUACAGUCUACCCGGCUCGCUGAUGCCUUUUGGUAAUUAGUACUUGUCCGUUGUGGCAACUCGAGUGGACACACUGCCUGAGCUGCUAUGAUUUAUAGUACCAUGUUAUUUUUCCGUUGGGAGUUUUGACGUCAAUAUGUGAUGUAUUAUUUGAGAGGAUGGGUUGAUAGGAGACACAGGGCACACUAGUAGGAAGUACCCACUGUAUGGUGACAGUACGGAUGCUGCAGAUGCGAAGAGCUUAUCAAGUGUUCAUGCUAGAGAUGCGAGGAAAUGGGAAGGGAAUUAUCCGGAGAAAUCGCCAAGUCAUUACGACUAUAUAGCACUUGGAAGGGAUCAGAUUAAAGAUUUUAGAUGGGACGGGGGGAAGGAAUGGUGCCCAACCACUUGGACGGUCGGGGAUUGAACGCCGACCUGCAUGAAGCGAGACAGUCGAUCUACCGUUCAGCCCAUGUGGUUGUGGAGCUUAUCAAGUGUUGAUACAGAGUUGCCACACAAGUUGAUAGGUAAUGAGUGUUAUUGGGAGCGGUGUUGCACUGUAUCAGAUAGAGGCUGCUGUAGCCUCUCACGUCUUCCCCUGCAGGCUCCUGAUCUUGUGUGUUUAUAACUGAUUUAUUGGCGGAGGUCGCUGUAUUUUCGCCUUUUUCUGGUUUUGGAAGAUAUGCUGUGCAGCGUCUUGCGCUGAGAGGGAUUAGUAUCGGCGAGUUAAUUUUGCGAGCACCAGGAGUCGAAGGAAAGAAGGGGAAGAAAAUAUGACUUUGCUUCACAUGUGUGGAGUUUUGACCCCCAUGUUAUUGUGAUAUAUCCUCGGUAAAGCAGCCUACUUAAACAUCUGAGUGGGUACUAGAGACCAGGAAGAAAAAACGUAAACAAUCUUGGGUGUGAUAGUUGUGUGGCGUGUGUUGAUAAGACGUGUAUCUCGCCCAAGAGUCGUGUGGCGGCCUCUUGUGAAGAGGCUCAUCUGCAUCAAAGUUGAGCUGACAGUGACAGGCUCUUGAACCACGCUUGGUUGACAGUGUGAUUGACAGGCGUUGAACUGACACGCUGAACGGAAGACCUCCACUGCAGCAGCUUACGUCACCCACUUGAUUGAUUUUUAAUUAUUUGCCAGUUGGGUGUGGCGCAGGCAAUGCCCAGUGCUUCAUGCGGUCUGUUGGAUCAGAUAAUGCAAUUUAAUUUUUGUUAAUAUGGUGCAGACUUAUCAACUCUACAAUUGGAUUAUGGGAUAAGAUAAUGAGUGUUCUUAUUGUUGUAUUUCAGAUUAGUAAAUGAAAACUUUCACUAUUUAGGCUUGAAUGUAUGUAUAGGCUACAACAAAUGUGAAACUGAAUUACGAGAACAAUUCGUGUGAGUGUGUUAAGGUUUGUGUUAUGUAGAACAGGCGUUUUCAAAUGCCAUUGUUUAGUGGCUCAGAUAGUGAUCAUUUCUGAACUCAAGUGCGAUCGUGAGAGAUUGCAAGAUGAAAUUUAAUUU